AUACGUAGGGGGCGAGCGUUGUCCGGAAUGAUUGGGCGUAAAGGGCGCGUAGGCGGCUUUGCAAGUCAGUAGUGGAAGUCCAUUUUUCAAGGAUGGAAGUGCUACAGAAACUGCGGAGCUUGAGUGCAGGAGAGGUUAUCGGAAUUCCCGGUGUAGCGGUGAAAUGCGUAGAGAUCGGGAGGAACACCAGUGGCGAAGGCGGGUAACUGGACUGCAACUGACGCUGAGGCGCGAAAGUGUGGGGAGCAAAUAGGAUUAGAUACCCUGGUAGUCCACACUGUAAACGAUGAAUGCUAGGUGUAGGAGGUAUCGACCCCUUCUGUGCCGCAGUAAACACAGUAAGCAUUCCGCCUGGGGAGUACGGUCGCAAGAUUAAAACUCAAAGGAAUUGACGGGG
rnacentral:rRNA from 1 species